rnacentral:lncRNA from 1 species
UGACUUUUCAUCUUUUCAAAGCUCCAAACUCACCUAUAAAAAGAUAAACAGGAGACUCCAAAAAGUAUGCCUCCUCUUUUUCUAAAAAAUACUCACUCUUUCUCUUCUGUUACGAGAAAUCUGACUUGAGCAUCGAAGGAUCUCCAUCGGAGCCACCUCUGAUGGAGACUUUUCUUGUAGGUCCUGCCACUAUCGACUCAUCGGAUUUUGUCAUGCUCCAGCACCUACGGCCUGAGAUGAAUUUCAUCCGCAACAGAUUGAUGCUAGAGGAAG